ACCCACCGCUGAUGCAUCCCGCUCCGGUCGGUAGAGGGCGCUGCAGAGCCGGAUGAUGAAUCAUCCCCGGCGGCAGCCCUGCUUCUCCUGACCCGCAUUCACCCGUACUGUACAGGCAGGGGGAGGACCGAGCACAGAAAGCAAAUAAGCGCUGUAGAGUUCCCCUGGUCAUGGCUUUGGCAGUCUCCGGCAGACACGGCGCUCCGGUCUCCUCGCACCUGAUAGCGGACUGAUAGGGGGCUACCAGUGGGAGAGCCACUAGCAACACCGCUUGAGACGCUUAUCAACUGAACUCGCUUGUAUUUCUACGUAUUUAUCCUGCUUUUUCUUCACGUGUUAACCCGGCUGUCCCAUAUGUUGACGGUUCAGGAGGCGGUUUUGUACCAUUGGAUGAGGACAGCACCACCUGCCUCAUUUGUGGACCAGUCAGACGAUAUUGCAUGAUUCAUUUCAGGCACAGAGCUGCUGCAGUUCAAGACGCCCUGGGAUGGACUUUUGAGAGACAUGC